rnacentral:pre_miRNA from 1 species
GCUUUAACAUGGAUGUACCUGCUGUACAAAGAAAGUAAGUGCUUCCAUGUUUCAGUGG